AGAGUUUGAUCAUGGCUCAGGGUGAACGCUGGCGGCACGCCUAACACAUGCAAGUCGAUCGGGGAAAUUCACUUCGGUGAAGAGUACUAGAGGCGAACGGGUGAGUAACGCGUAGGAAUCUGCCCAUUAGAGGAGGAUAGCUACUGGAAACGGUAGGUAAACCACCAUAAUCUCGAGAGAGAAAAGUGAUAAAACAGCUAAUGGAGGAGUCUGCGUUCCAUCAGGUAGUUGGUGAGGUAAAAGCUCACCAAGCCGACGACGGAUAUCCGGUGUGAGAGCAUGAACGGACACAAGGGCACUGAGACACGGGCCCUACUCCUACGGGAGGCAGCAGUGGGGAAUUUUGGACAAUGGACGGAAGUCUGAUCCAGCGAUGCCGCGUGAAGGAAGACGUCUUUCGGGAUGUAAACUUCUGAAUUUACUGGAUAAAGGGUAGAGUAAGCUCUACAGAUGAAGGUAAGUAAAGAAAAGCCCCGGCUAACUACGUGCCAGCAGCCGCGGUAAGACGUAGGGGGCGAGCGUUGCCCGGAAUCACUGGGCGUAAAGGGAAAGUAGGCGGUCUAGCAAGUCAGAUGUGAAAUGUCAUGGCUCAACCAUGGAAUUGCGUUUGAAACUGCGAGACUUGAGGAUACCAGAGGAAGGCGGAAUUACUUGAGUAGAGGUGAAAUUCGUAGAUACAAGUAAGAAGGCCAGUGGUGAA
rnacentral:rRNA from 1 species